AACGAACGUUGGCGGCGUGGAUUAGGCAUGCAAGUCGCGGGAAUCCCAGCAAUGGGGGAACCGGCGUAAGGGGCAGUAAGGCGUGGGUACCUACCUUGGGGUCCGGGAUAGCCGUCCGAGAGGGCGGGUAAUACCGGAUGACCUCGGGAGAGCAAAGCUCCGGCGCCCUGAGAGGGGCCCACGUGAUAUUAGCUGGUUGGUGAGGUGACGGCUCACCAAGGCGGAGAUGUCUAGCGGGUGUGAGAGCACGACCCGCGCCACUCGCACUGAGACACUGGCGAGACACCUACGGGUGGCUGCAGUCGAGGAUCUUCGGCAAUGCGCGCAAGCGCGACCGAGCGACGCCGCGUGGGCGAUGAAGGCCUUCGGGUUGUAAAGCCCUGUCGAGGGGGAGAAAAGCCCGCAAGGGUGAGAUCUAUCCCUGGAGGAAGCUCGGGCUAAGUUCGUGCCAGCAGCCGCAGUAAGAC
rnacentral:rRNA from 1 species